rnacentral:rRNA from 1 species
UUGAUCCUGCCGGAGGUCACUGCUAUCGGGGUUCGACUAAGCCAUGCAAGUCGAGAGGGGUAAAGCCCUCGGCGAACUGCUCAGUAACACGUGGAUAACCUGACCUAGGGUGGAGGAUAACCCCGGGAAACUGGGGAUAAUACUCCAUAGGCUACGGAAGCUGGAAGGCUCUGUAACCGAAAGCUCCGGCGCCCUAGGAUGGGUCUGCGGCCGAUUAGGUUGUUGUUGGGGUAACGGCCCAACAAGCCGAUCAUCGGUACGGGUUGUGGGAGCAAGAGCCCGGAGAUGGAUUCUGAGACAUGAAUCCAGGCCCUACGGGGCGCAGCAGGCGCGAAAACUUUACAAUGCGGGAAACCGUGAUAAGGGGACCCCGAGUGCCUGUACACGCAGGCUGUUCAGGUGUUUAAAGCGCAUCUGGAGAAAGGGCCGGGCAAGACCGGUGCCAGCCGCCGCGGUAAUACCGGCGGCUCGAGUGGUGGCCACUAUUACUGGGCUUAAAGCGUCCGUAGCCGGGUUGUUAAGUCUCCUGGGAAAUCCAACGGCUCAACCGUUGGGCGGUCAGGGGAUACUGGCAAUCUAGGGAUCGGGGGAGGUGAGAGGUACUCUAGGGGUAGGAGUGAAAUCCUGUAAUCCUUGGGGGACCACCUGUGGCGAAGGCGUCUCACCAGAACGACUCCGACGGUGAGGGACGAAAGCUGGGGGAGCAAACCGGAUUAGAUACCCGGGUAGUCCCAGCUGUAAACGAUGCGCGUUAGGUGUAUCGGUGACUACGAGUCACCGAGGUGCCGAAGGGAAACCGUGAAACGUGCCGCCUGGGAAGUACGGUCGCAAGGCUGAAACUUAAAGGAAUUGGCGGGGGAGCACCACAACGGGUGGAGCCUGCGGUUUAAUUGGAUUCAACGCCGG